GUUACAGAUACAGAGCAUAGAGACAGACAUCCAUGUGACAUUGAGCCCUGUUUCCCUUUUUACAAGCUUACGAGAGAAAGGUUUUGAAGGCUUUGGGGUCUUGAAUCAGAGCAGAAAAGGAGAAGAGAGUACAAGAGAUAAAGAAGUGAAAGUACAGUAGUUGAUGGGAGUCUUUUGGUUACCUUGACUGGAAAACCCUUCAUGACCAUUUACUGUAAAUGGGUUAGGAACCCUCUCUCACUUAAAGAGAUCAUCCAGGACUUUCAUAUAUGUUUUAGCCAGUAGAUCUGAAAGUAGAUAGAUUAUGCAUGUAUAAACUACACAUAGAAACAUCCAGCCCAAAGCGGAAGGUUUUAGAAAAUACUUAGGCCUAGAUUCAAUCAGAUCAAGCGUUAAACGGCAAUAGUAGACACCCGCAUAGCAGAUGUUUUGGCAUGUCGGUGGUGGAACUGCCUUGAAGCCGUCAAUUUGCAUUCUACCAGAGGCCUCACAAGCACUUCAAGACACUUGUGAAACGAUGAGGCAUGCAGCCAUCUCUCUCUCUCUCUCUUUCUUUCUCUUGGAGUGUUGAGCUCAACACACAAAGGGGGAAGUGAAAACAGUGCUAUUUCAGAAGUACCGUUUUAUUGGUUGCUACAGUGCGACAGUGUAAAAUCCCCUUCACUUCCUGUGUUGUAUUGUUUUCACUGUUGAUAUACACUCUUAGAAAAAAGUGUUCCAAAAAGUUUUUUUUCGGCCGCCCCCAUAGGAGCACCCUUUGAAGAACCCUUUUUGGUUCUAGAUGGAACCAUUUUUGGUUCCAGGUAGAACUAUUUUGUGGAAAGGGUUUAAAAUGGAACUCAAAAGGGUUCUCCUAUGGGAGCAGUUGAAGAACCGUUUUAGGCUCUAGAUAGCAUCUUUUUUUAAAUGAGUUUAGUAGUUAGCUAUGGAAGAAACACUAGAAAGUGAUAUGCACUUCCCAAACUUUAGUUAACCGGUGCUGGACAAAAAGUAUACUUAGAUACAGAGAUUAUAUUCCCGCACAUUAUUGCUGUGUGUGCGGCCUCUCUUUUCUUUAUCAGGGAACUCAAGAAAGAUCUACAGCUUCAAUCUUCAAUUAGACACCCUUAAAGAAAAUGAUGUGCGAUUAGAAGUGGGUAGUGCUUUUGGCAGGCGGAGAAGAUGGCAGAUUUAGGGAGAGUUAUUGAUUGGAAAAGUGGGGUCUGUCACAGCGCAUUAGCUCUUGGGGGAGUAAUCCGCAGCAGAUUGCCACCAGAAGCAUAUGCUGCUGGAGAGAAGUAAUUAAAAACAGGAUGUUGAGGUAGUCGCCAUAUAAACAGGAAAUAAGAACGGGUGGUAAUACACUUUACGCUGACGCCGGGAGAUGGUUUUUACCACGGCUUUUUAAUGGAUGCAAACUGUCUUGAGUGAGAUUCCUCAAGGUCAAGGAUGGACCGGGACAUGAAAACAUAGCAGGGUGUUUUGUGUGUGUGUGUGUGUGUGUGUGUGUGUGUGUGUGUGUGUGUGUGUGUGUGUGUGUGUGUGUGUGUAAAUAAGAUUUUUAUGAUCAAGCUUUAGUGGAUUACAAAGUGGACACAGCAAAUCACAAGUCUUGAGGGUCAUAAGGGCUGAUUUGUUCUCUCCAUGCAGACUCGUCUUUUCCAUUAUCAUCAUAGAUCAUCUCCGCCACUGAGGAUUUGAGACACAAUGGAGAGAAGCAUCUGUAACACUUUCCCACACUAUGUGACGUUUCCUACACUCAAGAAAACUAUGCUGCACCAUGUGGCUGAUGAACCAUGUGGCUGCUUCCCCCAUUUCUUUGAUCUCCUCAAAGAUGAAAUGUGCUGCAUGUUUUGCUAUGAUGAGUCGGUUAGUUUGUGAGCUGAUUAGUGUGUGGUACUGAUAUGAAUCAUGUCAGGGUGUCAUCUCAAUCCAGAGGAGGGACAAUAUGAUACCCCUCUAUGCAUUAAGGGUGGAUUAGAAUGCCUAAACAUAGUGAAUACAGUCAUAUACUGUAAACCAUAUCAAUGAGUAGUUGAUAUAUAUAUAUAUCAUAUAUAUAUAUAUAUAUAUACACAUGUUAUAUGCUUUGCUUCUGAAGUGUAUCUUUGGUAAUAAAUAUAGUUGUAAAUCUC